rnacentral:rRNA from 1 species
UACGUAGGGCCCAAGCGUUGUCCGGAAUCAUUGGGCGUAAAGAGCUCGUAGGCGGUUUGUUACGUCUUGUGUGAAAUCUCGGGGCUUAACCCCGAGCGGUCGUGAGAAACUGGCAGGCUAGAGUGCGGGAGAGGAGAGUGGAAUUCCUGGUGUAGCGGUGAAAUGCGCAGAUAUCAGGAAGAACACCCGUGGCGAAGGCGGCUCUCUGGAACGCAACUGACGCUGAGACGCGAAAGCGUGGGGAGCAAACAGG